CGCCUUGCCAGCCCGCUCAGAAACUUAAAGGAAUUGACGGGGGCCCGCACAAGCGGUGGAGCAUGUGGUUUAAUUCGAUGAUACGCGAGGAACCUUACCUGGGCUCAAAUGUAUGUUGACGUAUUCUGAAAGGGAUACUUCUUCGGACAAUAUACAAGGUGCUGCAUGGUUGUCGUCAGCUCGUGCCGUGAGGUGUCGGGUUAAGUCCCAUAACGAGCGCAACCCCUAUCAUUAGUUGCCAUCAGGUCAAGCUGGGGACUCUAAUGAAACUGCCUACGCAAGUAGUGAGGAAGGUGGGGAUGACGUCAAAUCAGCACGGCCCUUACGUCCAGGGCUACACACGUGCUACAAUGGCCGGUACAAAGGGCAGCUACCUGGUGACAGGAUGCUAAUCUCAAAAGCCGGUCUCAGUUCGGAUCGGAGUCUGCAACCCGACUCCGUGAAGUUGGAUUCGCUAGUAAUCGCGCAUCAGCCAUGGCGCGGUGAAUACGUUCCCGGGCCUU
rnacentral:rRNA from 1 species